UUCCGGUUGAUCCUGCCGGCGGUCACUGCUAUUGGAAUCCGAUUAAGACAUGCGAGUCGAGGGUGGUUCGUCCACCCGGCAAACGGCUCAGUAACACGUGGAUAAUCUGCCCUUAGACGAGGAAUAAUCUCGGGAAACUGAGGACAAUACCUCAUAGGCCUUGGAAGCUGGAAAUGCUCCAAGGUUUAAAGCGUCUAGCGCCUAAGGAUGAGUCUGCGGCCUAUCAGGUAGUAGGGGGUGUAACUUACCCCCUAGCCGAUGACGGGUACGGGCCUUGAGAGAGGGAGCCCGGAGAUGGGUUCUGAGACACGAACCCAGACCCUACGGGGUGCAGCAGUUGCGAAACCUUCACACUGUGGGAAACCACGAUGAGGGGAUUCCAAGUGCCAACACAAUGUGUUGGCUUUUCAUCUGUCUAAAACGCAGGUGGAAUAAGAGCCGGGUAAGACUGGUGCCAGCCGCCGCGGUAACACCAGCGGCUCAAGUGGUGGCCUUUUUUAUUGAGCUUAAAGCGUCCGUAGCCGGUCCAGUAAAUCUCUGGGUAAAUCGAACGGCUUAACCGUUCGACUUCCAGAGACACUGUUGGACUUGGGGCCGGGAGAGGCCAGAGGUACUCUCGGGGUAGAAGUAAAAUUCUGUAAUCCCGAUAGGACCACCAGUGGCGAAGGCGUCUGGCUAGAACGGACUCGACGGUGAGGGACGAAGCCCUGGGGCGCGAACCGGAUUAGAUACCCGGGUAGUCCAGGGUGUAAACGAUGCGGGCUUGGUGUCGACAGUCUUACGCGGGCAGUCGGUGCCGUAGAGAAGUUGUUAAGCCCGCCGCUUGGGGAGUACGGCCGCAAGGCUGAAACUUAAAGGAAUUGGCGGGAGAGCAC
rnacentral:rRNA from 1 species